CGUGGAGGACGACCUCCCCCUUCCCGGGCCCACACGACCAGGACGACCUGG
rnacentral:ncRNA from 1 species